GUUGUGUCAUUAAAAUUAUGGCUGAGUCCAAAAGACUAGGCAGCUGCCUUAUCAGGCAACGACUUUGCAGGCAGCGUUUUUGCACGAAG